GAAAGGUGAAAAGUACCCCGGAAGGGGAGUGAAAGAGAACUUGAAACCGUGUGCUUACAAGUAGUCAGAGCCCGUUAAUGGGUGAUGGCGUGCCUUUUGUAGAAUGAACCGGCGAGUUACGAUCUGAUGCAAGGUUAAGCAGCAAAUGUGGAGCCGCAGCGAAAGCGAGUCUGAAUAGGGCGUUGAGUAUUUGGUCGUAGACCCGAAACCAGGUGAUCUACCCUUGGUCAGGUUGAAGUUCAGGUAACACUGAAUGGAGGACCGAACCGACUUACGUUGAAAAGUGAGCGGAUGAACUGAGGGUAGCGGAGAAAUUCCAAUCGAACUUGGAGAUAGCUGGUUCUCUCCGAAAUAGCUUUAGGGCUAGCCUCAAGUGAUGAUUAUUGGAGGUAGAGCACUGUUUGGACGAGGGGCCCCUCUCGGGUUACCGAAUUCAGACAAACUCCGAAUGCCAAUUAAUUUAACUUGGGAGUCAGAACAUGGGUGAUAAGGUCCGUGUUCGAAAGGGAAACAGCCCAGACCACCAGCUAAGGUCCCAAAAUAUAUGUUAAGUGGAAAAGGAUGUGGCGUUGCCCAGACAACUAGGAUGUUGGCUUAGAAGCAGCCAUCAUUUAAAGAGUGCGUAAUAGCUCACUAGUCGAGUGACACUGCGCCGAAAAUGUACCGGGGCUAAACAUAUUACCGAAGCUGUGGAUUGUCCUUUGGACAAUGGUAGGAGAGCGUUCUAAGGGCGUCGAAGCAUGAUCGCAAGGACAUGUGGAGCGCUUAGAAGUGAGAAUGCCGGUGUGAGUAGCGAAAGACGGGUGAGAAUCCCGUCCACCGAUUGACUAAGGUUUCCAGAGGAAGGCUCGUCCGCUCUGGGUUAGUCGGGUCCUAAGCUGAGGCCGACAGGCGUAGGCGAUGGAUAACAGGUUGAUAUUCCUGUACCACCUAGUAUCGUUUUAAUCGAUGGGGGGACGCAGUAGGAUAGGCGAAGCGUGCUGUUGGAGUGCACGUCCAAGCAGUAAGGCUGAGUGUUAGGCAAAUCCGGCACUCAUAAGGCUGAGCUGUGAUGGGGAGAGGAAAUUGUUUCCUCGAGUCGUUGAUUUCACACUGCCGAGAAAAGCCUCUAGAUAGAUAACAGGUGCCCGUACCGCAAACCGACACAGGUAGUCAAGAUGAGAAUUCUAAGGUGAGCGAGCGAACUCUCGUUAAGGAACUCGGCAAAAUGACCCCGUAACUUCGGGAGAAGGGGUGCUCUUUAGGGUUCACGCCCAGAAGAGCCGCAGUGAAUAGGCCCAAGCGACUGUUUAUCAAAAACACAGGUCUCUGCUAAACCGUAAGGUGAUGUAUAGGGGCUGACGCCUGCCCGGUGCUGGAAGGUUAAGAGGAGUGGUUAGCUUCUGCGAAGCUACGAAUCGAAGCCCCAGUAAACGGCGGCCGUAACUAUAACGGUCCUAAGGUAGCGAAAUUCCUUGUCGGGUAAGUUCCGACCCGCACGAAAGGCGUAACGAUUUGGGCACUGUCUCAACGAGAGACUCGGUGAAAUCAUAGUACCUGUGAAGAUGCAGGUUACCCGCGACAGGACGGAAAGACCCCGUGGAGCUUUACUGUAGCCUGAUAUUGAAAUUCGGCACAGCUUGUACAGGAUAGGUAGGAGCCUUUGAAACGUGAGCGCUAGCUUACGUGGAGGCGUUGGUGGGAUACUACCCUAGCUGUGUUGGCUUUCUAACCCGCACCACUUAUCGUGGUGGGAGACAGUGUCAGGCGGGCAGUUUGACUGGGGCGGUCGCCUCCUAAAAGGUAACGGAGGCGCUCAAAGGUUCCCUCAGAAUGGUUGGAAAUCAUUCAUAGAGUGUAAAGGCAUAAGGGAGCUUGACUGCGAGACCUACAAGUCGAGCAGGGUCGAAAGACGGACUUAGUGAUCCGGUGGUUCCGCAUGGAAGGGCCAUCGCUCAACGGAUAAAAGCUACCCCGGGGAUAACAGGCUUAUCUCCCCCAAGAGUUCACAUCGACGGGGAGGUUUGGCACCUCGAUGUCGGCUCAUCGCAUCCUGGGGCUGUAGUCGGUCCCAAGGGUUGGGCUGUUCGCCCAUUAAAGCGGUACGCGAGCUGGGUUCAGAACGUCGUGAGACAGUUCGGUCCCUAUCCGUCGUGGGCGUAGGAAAUUUGAGAGGAGCUGUCCUUAGUACGAGAGGACCGGGAUGGACAUACCUCUGGUGUACCAGUUGUCGUGCCAACGGCAUAGCUGGGUAGCUAUGUAUGGACGGGAUAAGUGCUGAAAGCAUCUAAGCAUGAAGCCCCCCUCAAGAUGAGAUUUCCCAACUUCGGUUAUAAGAUCCCUCGAAGAUGACGAGGUUAAUAGGUUCGAGGUGGAAGCGUGGUGACACGUGGAGCUGACGAAUACUAAUCGAUCGAAGACUUAAUCAAUUU
rnacentral:rRNA from 3 species